UUUUCCUCGNGUGUAAGGAGCCGAGAGAAUAAGGGGAGGGCAAGCCUGGUGUCAGCCGCCGCGGUAAUACCAGCUCCCCGAGUGGUGAGGAUGUUUAUUGGGCCUAAAGCGUUCGUAGCCGGUUUGGUAAGUCUCCCGUCAAAUCUACCGACUUAAUCGGUAGGCUGCGGGAAAUACUGCUAGACUAGGAGGCGGGAAAGGUCGGCGGUAUUCCCGGGGUAGGGGUAAAAUCCUAUAAUCCUGGGAGGACCACCAGUGGCGAAGGCGGCCGACCAGAACGCGCUCGACGGUGAGGGACGAAAGCUGGGGGAGCGAACCGGAUUAAAUACCCGGGUAGUCCCAGCCGUAAACGAUGCGGGCUAGGUGUUGGUACGGCUACNUGCCGUUUCAGUGCCGCAGGGAAGCUGUUAAGCCCGCCGCCUGGGGAGUACGGCCGCAAGGCUGAAAUCUAUGGAGU
rnacentral:rRNA from 1 species